rnacentral:rRNA from 1 species
GAUGAACGCUGGCGGCGUGCCUAAUACAUGCAAGUCGAGCGAACGGACGAGAAGCUUGCUUCUCUGAUGUUAGCGGCGGACGGGUGAGUAACACGUGGAUAACCUACCUAUAAGACUGGGAUAACUUCGGGAAACCGGAGCUAAUACCGGAUAAUAUUUUGAACCGCAUGGUUCAAAAGUGAAAGACGGUCUUGCUGUCACUUAUAGAUGGAUCCGCGCUGCAUUAGCUAGUUGGUAAGGUAACGGCUUACCAAGGCAACGAUGCAUAGCCGACCUGAGAGGGUGAUCGGCCACACUGGAACUGAGACACGGUCCAGACUCCUACGGGAGGCAGCAGUAGGGAAUCUUCCGCAAUGGGCGAAAGCCUGACGGAGCAACGCCGCGUGAGUGAUGAAGGUCUUCGGAUCGUAAAACUCUGUUAUUAGGGAAGAACAUAUGUGUAAGUAACUGUGCACAUCUUGACGGUACCUAAUCAGAAAGCCACGGCUAACUACGUGCCAGCAGCCGCGGUAAUACGUAGGUGGCAAGCGUUAUCCGGAAUUAUUGGGCGUAAAGCGCGCGUAGGCGGUUUUUUAAGUCUGAUGUGAAAGCCCACGGCUCAACCGUGGAGGGUCAUUGGAAACUGGAAAACUUGAGUGCAGAAGAGGAAAGUGGAAUUCCAUGUGUAGCGGUGAAAUGCGCAGAGAUAUGGAGGAACACCAGUGGCGAAGGCGACUUUCUGGUCUGUAACUGACGCUGAUGUGCGAAAGCGUGGGGAUCAAACAGGAUUAGAUACCCUGGUAGUCCACGCCGUAAACGAUGAGUGCUAAGUGUUAGGGGGGUUCCGCCCCUUAGUGCUGCAGCUAACGCAUUAAGCACUCCGCCUGGGGAGUACGACCGCAAGGUUGAAACUCAAAGGAAUUGACGGGGACCCGCACAAGCGGUGGAGCAUGUGGUUUAAUUCGAAGCAACGCGAAGAACCUUACCAAAUCUUGACAUCCUUUGACAACUCUAGAGAUAGAGCCUUCCUCUUCGGGGGACAAAGUGACAGGUGGUGCAUGGUUGUCGUCAGCUCGUGUCGUGAGAUGUUGGGUUAAGUCCCGCAACGAGCGCAACCCUUAAGCUUAGUUGCCAUCAUUAAGUUGGGCACUCUAAGUUGACUGCCGGUGACAAACCGGAGGAAGGUGGGGAUGACGUCAAAUCAUCAUGCCCCUUAUGAUUUGGGCUACACACGUGCUACAAUGGACAAUACAAAGGGCAGCGAAACCGUGAGGUCAAGCAAAUCCCAUAAAGUUGUUCUCAGUUCGGAUUGUAGUCUGCAACUCGACUACAUGAAGCUGGAAUCGCUAGUAAUCGUAGAUCAGCAUGCUACGGUGAAUACGUUCCCGGGUCU